CAGAGUGAGGAGAUGGGGGUCACAGCGGGCUCAUCAACCUGGCAAUUUUCUCCAGCUUUUCACAGCUCCAACACAUCAGUGAUCCAGACUUGAUGAAAUCUGGACCACCUGCUGCCGGGUGGCUGUUUUCUCUGGGACGACGUCCAAAGAAACAGAAGCAGAUUGAUCACUUACAGAAGACGAAGCGUGAGCGAGCGGCGCCGUCGCUGCUCCGAGAUGAAAAACUCCUCAGUGGUUCUGCCGAAGGUCUGACGCACACACUCGCUGUGCCUCAUGCAAAACGAAUCCCACGCUCUGCAGAGAGGCUGCGUUCAGCUUCGGUCCAGCUCAACAGACUCUGAGCUCAGCUGAGCUUUGGUUUGGUCGAGCCUGACUUUAUGAGAGAUUCAUUAUUUUAUUCAUGACACGGUUUCAGCUCCUGACUGCUGAUCACCUGUCUGACUGACGCAGACAGGUGAGCCUGGCGUGUGAUACAGGUAAUUAAAGAGUUUUACGAGCAGACUGCUUGUAGUUCAUGAGUGUUAACAAUGGACAGACUAUGAGACAGUGGA